UUUCCAGUCUAGGGUCGCCGAGAGUGGGGGUGGCUGGGAGCAGCGCAGCCUCCUGAGGAGGAGGCGGAGGCCGAGGACCAGGAAUCAUCUUCAAGCGUAUGUCGUGAGGCUUUGGCAGAAAUUAAGAAGGAAAUAUCUCCAUUGUUCAUUGGCAUGGAUAAAUGUUCAGUGGGAGGAUUAGAAUUGACUGAACAGAGUCCUGCGUUAUUAGGGAAUAUGGCCAUGGCAACUAGUCUCAUGGACAUAGGGGAUUCAUUUGGUCAUCCAGCUUGUCCUUUAGUCAGUAGAUCUAGGAACUCACCAGUGGAAGAUGAUGACGAUGAUGAUGUUGUGUUUAUUGAAUCUAUACAACCUCCUUCAAUUUCUGCUCCAGCAAUAGCUGAUCAAAGCAACUUUGUAUUUGCAUCAUCAAAAAAUGAAAAGCCUCAAGGAAAUUAUUCUGUAAUUCCUCCUUCUUCAAGAGAUUUGGCAUCUCAGAAAGGAAAUAUAAGUGAGACAAUUGUUAUUGAUGAUGAAGAGGACAUAGAAACAAAUGGAGGAGCAGAGAAAAAUUCUUCCCGUUUUAUUGAAUGGGGACUUCCUGGAACUAAAAACAAAACCAAAGAUUUGGAUUUCUCCACUUCCAGUCUUUCAAGAAGUAAGGUAAAUGCAGAAAUGGGUAAUAGUGGUAUCACUACAGAAUUGACUCUGAAAUAUGUUAUUACUAAUGUUACAACCUUAGAAACAGGUAUAAGCUCUGUGAAUGCUGGGCAAGAUGUGAACAUAAUGAUUACAUAUAAAACAUCACUAUAGAAUACCAACUUGGGAGAUGUCGCUAAAGGACUUCAGUCAAGUAAUUUUGGUGUUAAUAUACAAACGUACACCCCAUCUUUAACUCCACAGACCAAGACUGGAGUAAGACCUUUUAACCCUGGUAGGAUGAAUGUGGCAGGAGACUUAUUUCAGAAUGGAGAAUUUGCAACUCAUCAUAGUCCUGAUUCUUGGAUCUCCCAGUCAGCUUCAUUUCCCCGUAAUCAGAAACAGCCAGGGGUGGAUUCUUUAUCACCAGUGGCCUUACUUCGUAAGCAGAAUUUCCAGCCUACAGCCCAACAACAACUUACUAAACGAGCUAAAAUCACUUGUGCAAAUUGCAAAAAGCCUUUACAGAAGGGACAGACAGCUUAUCAACGAAAAGGAUCAGCUCACCUCUUUUGCUCUACCACCUGCCUUUCUUCCUUCUCUCAUAAACGUACUCAAAACACACGAAGUAUAAUAUGUAAAAAAGAUGCAUCUACAAAGAAGGCUAAUGUUGUUCUUCCAGUAGAAUCAAGCAAAUCCUUCCAAGAAUUUUGUAGUACAUCUUGUUUGUCUCCCUGUGAAAACAACCGGAAUCUUAAAAAAGGAAUUUUUAAUAAGUCAAGAUGUACAAUUUGUAGUAAAUUAGCAGAGGUCUGGAUUUUUAUACCUAAGUUGUUGUUUAGGCUAACAGUGAUAAUUUUAACUUUUAAGUGCUAUUAUGUACUCUUUCAUCUACAUAAUGCACAUGUUCUGGAUGUAUAACAAGCUAAAAGGAAGAAUAAGGAUAUGUUAGAACUAUCUUAUGGGAUAUUUUAUAAAUAAAAUUCCAUUUGCAUAGC
rnacentral:sRNA from 1 species